ensembl:lncRNA
GCCUGAGGUAACAAAACAGUUUGUAAAUUACUAUAGAAUAAUUUAGAGAGGAAGCAUGACCUGAUUACACAUUUCCCCUUCCUAAGCAACUAUAUAAAAUUACCAAGAGCAGAAGGUGCAAAUCUGUAAGGAAUGAACAGUUAGCUAAGUGUACAGAGAAAGAUGCCGCCACACGGUAUUCACACUCUUCUAUGAUGACAUCUCUUUACACCCACCCCAGAACAUCUGUCAAUAAUACAACUGUCUUACAUUUAUUUCUUGACAUACAGAAUUUAACUUAAUGUAAAAUAGUGCACUGGGGACAUGGCUCAGUUUCUAAAGUGUUUGGCAGGCAAGAGUAAUGACCUGAGUGUGGUCCUUUACCACCUAUAUAAAAGGUUGGGAUUGAUGUAUAUACAAAUACUCCUAACACCAGGAAAGUGGAGAUGGGUGGACUAAUGCAGCUGGCUUUCUGAUCAAUCACACUAGCUAAACAGGCAAGCUCCAUGGUCAGUAAUGACCCUGCCUCAAAAAAUAAGAUGAACAGCAACUGAGGAAGAUAACCCGUAUUAUCAAUCUAUGGCUGCUCCCCUCUCUAUGCACAUAUGUACUUACAUUCACAUAGACACAAACACACAUGAACCAAAAAGUUAUGAUGCAAAAUGCUGGAGAGGAAAGUACAUUAACCAACCAUAAAAAAUACAGUGAUAUCAGGUGACAGGUGACAGGCAGGCUUUAUUAUUUUACAAAGGGAUUCUUUCUUUGGAAUGGGCUUUCCAUUGAGAAAGUGUCACUCAAACUCAAUCUCUCUCUUCCAGACAAAUUUCCCUGUAAGACUUCUUAACAGUGAAGGAUUACUACACUGAAGAAUGAAGGGAGUUCCAUAGUUUCGUGGAUGGAGACUUAUCUGAUCUCAGCGAGGGAGUAUUAUUUCUGUUCUCCUACAUAUGCCUCCUUAUCUAGCAACCUGAGUUCUCAGUGACCUGAGACUGCAAGAGCUUCACACAUGGUGUUUCCUUAUCUGUGCAAUGAGCAUACCACUUGAAUGACAUAUGUUGGAAUGAGGACUGUUUUCAAAACUUCAAAUGCCAAAAGAGUUUUCCUUGAUGGGUCAUGAAUGAAAAAAAUGAUCUAUCAAAAGACCAUUUUAAAAACUACUGUUGGUAGUGUAAAAUCUAUUGCCAGCAUCACAAUGUUAAAUUCACUCAUCUGUUCUAAGCCAGGUUUUUAUCUCUCUGUAUCACAGAAGGCAGAUUAUGAAAACCAGCAGAAUCCUAUGACACAAAUAAAAUUGAACUUAAUUUUGGGAAUGCAACCAUAGAUUUAUUUUUCUUAGUGCAUUAGAAACAUAAUUUGGUGAUUUAAUUACUUGCCAAAGUAGUCCAAUUUUUUCUAACUUCUCAUUUUUGCUUUGGAUUUCUUCUUUACAUCCUAUAGUACAAAGUGCCAAAACCUAGAAAAUCACCCUGUGAUAUUAAUGUGCUAAAUACCAACCUGAGUUUGAGGGUGUUCUUUAUAAUACUUGCUAUGUCGUCCAAGAAAAUUUGAUACAGUAUUGUCUCAUGUAUCACAGCCUGGCUUUGAAGUUUUUAUGCAGUUAAACAUAGUCUUGCCUCCAUCUCCCUAGGGCUAGGAUGGUAGGCCUAUUUUUUUAUCACCAUGUCUGGUUUAUGUAAUGAUGUGAUUCAUAUAUGUUGCUAAGGCACUUCACCAACUAAUACACACCCUCAGCUCAGGUCUUGAAUCACUAUUGAUGACAUUAUGACCUCAUUCAUGGUAAUGUAUUACUGGGAAAUAAGGACAACAGUGUGUUGCCCUAGGCUGCAGAACUUCAUAAAUUGGAAUUUGUUUUAGUAAGUGAUAGAGAUUUCUGUAAAACUCUUGGAAGCUUCUGCAUUCCAAUACCUCCCAUAUACAAAGGUAGCAUACAGGCCCUGCCCCUUGAAGACAGGAAGACUUAAACAGAGGUAGCAUUAAAGGAAAGCACCUCUCUCCUUGUAGUGCUCAGCCAGGGCCUCUAUCACUCAAGGAAAAGUUGCUAAGGGAAGGUCUGAAGUUAAAUGUAGAUGCUUAACAAACACUCCAAAGCAUGUGACAGCAAAGCAGUGUGUUGCUAAGAAACUGUAGCUAGAGCAGGCAGGGGGCCACAGUAACAGAAAGGCUGGCAACAAACGUCUGUGCUAAGACACAUGAGAGGUUGGUCAUGCACUGCAACCCUAUGUCUGUGGCUUUGUGCUUCUCUUUUGUUCACUUAUAUUUGUGAUCCUAUUUAUAGUUAAAAUGAAGUCCUCUCUUUAAUGGAGGCUUUAAUUAUUAAGCCCCUACUCUUUAUGUAUAUAUAUAUAUAUAUAUAUAUAUAUAUAUAUAUAUAUAUAUUAUAAUAUAAUUGUAUGUGUUACAUAUAAUCUCAAUCCUUACAAUGCACACAAAGAACGUCUAUUACCGUUAAUACAUAAGGAAAUACAGCCACAAUACCUAUAAUUGACCUGUAUAAAAAUAAGCACAGGGGAUUGUAAAACAUUAGUCAAAAUGCUGUUUAACAUUAUGCUUUAAUGGUAAUGCUUUGCAACCCUGUUAAAUGGCAACUAUGUGCCAUAUGGUGAGUCUCAAGUUCCCUUUUUUGCUCUAAUAGUUUUGUCAUGUGGUCCCUGACUCUAAAUAUCUAAGUUAGCUAAACACAUUUUUAUGACUUUCAUCUUAUUAACAAUUAAGGGGACAAACAAAUUCACUGACAUUUAUAUUUUGGUGCAGGGUUUUGCACAGAAACAUUGUGAAACCCUUGCACUGAUUUUUUUUUAAAAAAAAAUAUUCUGUUUGCUGACACAAUGGAGAAUUGAGCCAAAUAACUUGCCUUUAGCAAGACAAAUACUCUCUCAAUCAACUGUGUCCUGCCUCAUUUUGAGACAAGAUAGCCAGGCUAGUCUAGAACUAGCCACAGUGCAGCCUUUAUUUCUCUAGUGGCAGGCAAAAUAAGAUAGUCACUGUGUCUUCCUCAUUUUCACUUUUAUCAUAAAUACAUUUCAUUGCUUAUUUACCCAGAUUGUCACCAAUCUCAUAAUUCUCCUACCUCAGUCUCCUCAGUGGUAUUUGACUACAGGUUUGUUCUGAUGAUCUCAUGUUCAUACUUUUUUUGUUUGAAUUAUGGUGUACCCCUGGUUUAUAAUAUUAAAGAUAAAUUAAAUUAAACUUGAAAACUUUAUUGCUGAAGAACAGUUCUUCUAAGAAAAUUUUAAAGAAUUGGAAUUCCAAUGUAAGGUAGUGAGGGAAAGUACUUAUUUGGCUGGUUUAUAAAUAUUGUAAGGCACGGGGUGCAUAAAUACACAGGGAAUGCCAGAAUGGUUACUAGUGGGGAAGGGGACUGACUAAAUCUGAGUUUGUUUUACAUUGACCACUCAGGAGUUAUUUUCUCUAUGAAUUCUUGGUAAAAUGCUCCAGCUUUAAGAAAAACCUUUAACGGUAAUAUCCACACACUCUCUUGCCUUAAAAAGUUAACAUAGAAUAAUCCAUUGUUUUAUGUAGUGCUUGAUAAAGAUACUUUUGAUAAGUGCUAGUUUGAUAAGUGGUCAUAUACAGACAUUUCCUGACCUGUUUUAAGCCAUACCUCAAAUGCAUGCACCUGAGAUUAUCAAUGCAAACCUGUCGUCAACAACACUAUUCAGGAGUCUGAGAUAGGAGGGUUAUAAAUUGGUUGAAAAUCUGGGAAAGUAAGCAACAAGAUUUGUUUAUGAUAGGAUUCUGUUGAAUUAGAAAAAAAACAUAUUUAGCACAUCACAAGAUAUAGGAAAUAGGUGCAUAUAUCAUGGUAUGUAUUGUUACAUCACUCUUCACCACAUUGUUUCACCCCAUGAAUUAGAGAUAGAGUUUCUGCGGUGAAGUUUGGAGAACAUUUAGAGGAGAUAACAUAAAUAUUAAAUAAUUUAUUCAAGAAAAUAUGAAGUUAUAGCUUCCUAAAUCAUCUUAAUCCAAGAUUCGAUCUGAUCUAAUAAAAAGCAUGAAGAAACCUCAUUAAAAAACAAGCAAAACUCAAGAGCAGUGUAACUCAUGACUGCAUCUGAAAUAUAGCCAACAAAUUGCUAUAAGCUGUACACACAUUGCCAUAGAUAUAUGUACUUGGCAUUAUUCAGAUAACUAUAUACAUAUCAAAUAUAUGUAAAUAUGAGUAUCAUAUUAAUAGUAUGCAGGACAUGGCCGAGAAGAAUAUAUCACACUACCAUAAGGCAUGUUUUUUAAUGACAUAUAUGUCCUCUGAUUUACAAAUGUAUGUAGACAAGCCAAGGAACAAAAAUAGUUACAGCAGUUUUUAAAAGGCAAAGGAUACUGGAAGAAACAUCAUAGCUAUUUGUAAGUGUCUCUAUGAAGCUACAAUAAUCAAAUAGCUAACUAGUUGGUUACUGGUUGGGGGAGUGAUAUAUAAAAUAGAAUAGAAUGUAGAAUAGAAUAGCAUGCAGACAUAGAGCUGCAAAAUGUAUCAAAUAAGAUUGUGACAAAGAAUAUUGUAAUUAAUGUUAUAAUUAAGUGAAGAAAAAGAUUUAAUAUUUCAACAAACUUAAAAAUUAAUAAGUUACAAGGCUGAAACAUGGUUUCUAUUAAAAUUCUGAAAUUAUAUAAUAUGAAGGCUUUCUUACUUUCCAAUGAAAUCUACUCCAAACUAAAACAUAACCAUGAUAGUAUGUGUAGAUACAAAAUGUAAAGGCAUGUUUCCAAAUGUGGCCUCAGCUCCAGACUGGUGUCUAGAAUUUUUUUGUGUUGUGUGGUAUUCCCUUGGUCUAUAAAAUCCUAUUUUAACCCAUCUCACCUGGACUUCUAUGUCUGUUGUUCCCAUGAAGCCUCCUCUUCCUAGAGGAAUGCCUUCUUCCGAUUCCAAGUUUCCACAAGAGCAUCAGUCACAUUGUUCCCAAUGGUGAUUCAUACCUGUCUUAGAAGGAAUCCUUGCUGCAUGUCAGCUGGGGGUCUGUUUUCAAGAGUAUUAAAUCUUCUUUGUUUUCCUUUCCCUUGGAUAUAUAUGUAGAUCCUCUAGGAUCCUCCAAUGUAGAUAGAAAAUGAGUCCAUACUCGAAAUAGGAACUGCAGUGGGUGGCAAGUUUCAUCUAAAAAUAACAUGAUUCAACACAAUCUACCACUACACUAGUCUGUCAGCAAGAUUUUCCAAUGUCAAUAAGCUUAGCAUUGGAGAACUUUGUUAUUUUGAUAUGGCUUUUGUUGGAUGUUUGGCUUUCAGGAGAAGCAAAGACCAGACUGUGAGAUCUUCAACUUUACAGAAAUGCUCAGACCAUGUUACUAGGUAACAAAGGAGCUUCCAUUCAUGGGUUUCUCUGUUGCUUUGGAGCCUAUCCUGGAACCAGCUCUUGCAGACCAAGCUGAUCUCGAACUCACAGAGAUCCAACUGUCUUUGCCUCCCAAGUGCUGGGAUUAAAGGCGUUUGCCCAUACUACCCUGCUAUUCCUGACUCUUGAUAACAGCCAUAAAGACAGAGAAUGGACAAACAGUCCUGUUAAAGGGCUGUAUGAAGUGAUGUCUAAGUUAUGCCACAUGGGUAGGUAAGA